AGAGCUGGACCUGCAGCGGACGCUGAGUUUGCAGGCGCCACCUGUGAAGGAGGGGCCACUCUUCAUCCACAGGACCAAGGGCAAGGGCCCCCUCAUGUCCUCCUCCUUCAAGAAGCUCUACUUCUCCCUCACUACCGAGGCCCUCAGCUUCGCGAAGACGCCCAGCUCCAAGAAAAGCGCCCUCAUCAAGUUAGCCAACAUCCGGGCAGCAGAAAAGGUUGAGGAAAAGAACUUUGGCAGCUCGCACGUCAUGCAGGUCAUCUACACGGACGACGCCGGCAGGCCCCAGACUGCCUACCUGCAGUGCAAGUGUGUGAAUGAGCUUAACCAGUGGCUGUCUGUGCUGCGGAAGGUGAGCAUCAACAACACCGGACUGCUGGGCUCCUACCACCCUGGCAUCUUCUGUGGGGACAAGUGGAGCUGCUGCCACCAAAAAGAGAAGACAGGUGGGAGAGGAGGCCUGGGUCCCGGGCUCUGCAUCCGUCCACUGCGAGAUCGGGCCUCUGGCUGAACGAUGGGACCGUGAGCCCUGCUGUGCACCUGCAGGGACAUAACCCAAGGAAUGCUGGCCCCUCCAGGAGCUCUGGGCAGAAAGGGUCCCGUGGACCAGGUGGUUUGGGAAAUGCCACGUGAUGUGUGUGAAGCACAUGAGUGAAUUCGCUGAAGGCUCUAAGGAGGCCCGAAAACACGUCAGGGCUGCGAUAAGACCCGGUCACGGGUGACCCUGCAGGAGUGGAAUGACCCUCUUGACCAUGACCUUGAGGCCCAGCUCAUCUACCGGCACCUGCUGGGCGUGGAGGCCAUGCUGUGGAUCACCAUUAACAAGGACACCAAGGUACCCAAUGCCUGUUUAUUCACCAUCAACAAAGAAGACCACACACUGGGAAACAUCAUUAAAUCACGUGCCUGCUUCCCCUUCGCCUUCUGCCGUGAUUGUCAGUUUCCUGAGGCCUCCCCAGCCACGCUUUCUGUACAGCCUGCAGAACUGUGAGUCAAUUAAACCUCUUUUCUUCAUAAAUUACCCAGUUUCUCAUAAUUCUUUAUAGCAGUGUGAAAACAGACUAAUGGACCCUUCUGGUUGAAGGAAUGCAGCCAUUCUGCUUGUUUGACUAUGUCCUUUCUGUUCAUCUCUAUUUCCUGGGAGGUGUUUAUCCAAGUGCAAUAGGAGGUAUUGGUGACCGCACAGUCCCCUCAGUGUUCUGCUAGUAAAUAGUUGAAGGUUGAUCCUUGAUCUCCUGCGUUUUCAGUCUGGCAUGGAAAAGCCCCCGUGCAACUGGUAAAGAUAUCAAUAAGCACCAGGAGGUAUCUAAAUCCACCAGGAGCCAUAGGCAUCACGUUGACGUCCAUUUACCAGUCUUCCCUGGCAAGAUUCUUCUGAAUUGUGCUGCCUUGGCCAAAAGAGGUAUGGGAGGGGCUGGGCGCAGUGGCUUGUGCCUGUAAUCCCAACAUUUUGGGAAACCAAUUCAGGUGGAUCAUUAGAGGUCAGGGGUUCAAGACCAUCCUGGCCAACAUGGUGACAUCCCAUCUCUACUAAAAAUACAAUAAGUUAGCUGGGUUUGGUGUUGGGUGCCUGUAAUCCCAGCUACUCGAGAGGCUGAGGCAGGAUAAUCGCUUGAACCUGGGAGGAGGAGGUGGCAGUGAGCUGAGAUCGUGCCAUUGCACUCCAGCGUGGGCAACAAGAGUGAAACGUCGUCUCAAAAAAAAAAAGUCCGGGCGUGAUGGCUCACACCUGUAAUCCCAGCACUUUGGGAGGCCAAGACGGGUGGAUCACGAGGUCAGGAGUUCAAGACCAGCCUGGCCUAGAUGGUGAAACCCUGUCUCUACUAAAAAUACAAAUAUUAGCUGGGCAUGGUGGCAUGCACCUGUAAUCUCAACUACUCAGAGGUCUGAUGCAGGAGAAUUGCUAAAACCCAGGAGGGAGAGGUUACAUUGAGCCGAGAUUGCACCACUGCACUCUAGCCUGGGCGACAGAGCAAGACUCCAUCUCGAAAGAAAGAAAGAGAAAGGAAAUUCCCCAGGGAAGUACCUUGGCUGAUUUCAUAAACAGGUACUGAAGGAAGCAGAGGCAUGUGGAGGACUUCCCCAGCUCAUGCAGCUAUUUGGGCCGUGGCGUCUGAAAUUUAUUAUUUCAGAGUCACCCCUUUGAUGACCUUAGCAGUGGACUGCAGUCAUCUGUUUAGGCCUCUCCAUGGCCCACGUCAAUGCCGCUAUUUCUGUUUGUUGCACAUUUGAUUUCCUUGUUGUUGGCAUUUAGAAGGCCCCCUGUUUCCCAGAUCACACCACGGGCAUGGACCACAGAGAUUGCAUCUUGUGAGUCUGUAGAAAUGGUCAAGGCCUUGUCCUCUCUUAGGUCCAGAGCUCAGGUUAAUGCAGAUUUUCCCGGCCGUCUGUGCUGAAGUCCCUGUGGGGAGGCUCCUGGCUGGUUUCCUGUAGGUAGACAGCUACACGUCCUGCCCUUCAUUGGCUUCUUUUCAUGAAGCUCCUGCCAUCUACAAAACAUGUCUCCCUUCUUGAAUCACAUCUCUGUUAUUGAAACUCUAGAAGUCGACCGGGCAUGGUGGCUAUGCCUAUAAUCCCAGCAUUUUGGGAUGCCAAGGCGGGUGGAUCACCUGAGGUCAGGAGUUCAAGACCAGCCUGGCCAACAUGGCGAAACCCCGUCUCUAAUACAAAUACAAAAAUUACCCAAGCAUGGUGGCCA
ensembl:lncRNA POLR2J4 RNA polymerase II subunit J4 (pseudogene)